CUGCCACUGUAGUUUUGAAACGACGCUUCUCUCUCUCUCUGUGCUCACUGUUCUCUGUUCUCAAAGAUCGAAACUUUGGCUCUCUGUCUUCUCUCUUCUAUCCUCUCUCUCUCUGCUUCUCCUUCUAUGAUUUGCAAUGCCGACGAGGAAAGACGCUUCUGAAGUCUCUUCGGACCGGCGGAAGUGGCAGAAGGUCUUCAACGCUUUCGUGGAAUUGCUCGGGAAUCAACAGGCACAGCUCCUGACCCUCGUCAGAGAGAGGAAGCUCCUGGAGGAUCGCAUCAAGAUGCAACACAGGCGUUGGAACUCCGACGUUCGUUUUCUCAAGGACUGAAUCUCUCAGACAAACGGAGCUUUGAAGGUGCAAGACAUGGUUCACUUUCUUGAGUCCACGAAGUUGGAUUUCGCUUUAGGGUCGAAGGAAAGGGAGGCUCUUUUGUACAAAUUGAAGUUAGAGCAAGCAGAUGAUGAGUUGGCUGAUUUUAGAGGGUGCCCUGAUAUUAUUCCACAGAAAUACUCUGAACUUGAGG